GUGUUACUCCCUCCGUCUGGAAAUACUCGUCGGAGGAAUGGAUGUAUCUAGAUAUAUUUUAGUUCUAAAUACAUUCAUUUUUAUCCAUUUCUCCAACAAGUAUUUCCGGACGGAAGGAGUACUUU
rnacentral:pre_miRNA from 1 species